GACGAACGCUGGCGGCGUGCCUAACACAUGCAAGUCGAACGAGAUCCAUGGGAGCUUGCUCCCGGAAGAUCUAGUGGCGAACGGGUGAGUAACACGUGAGAAACCUGCCCUGGAGUGGGGAAUAACUCGGGGAAACUCGAGCUAAUACCGCAUACCCUCGGAUGGUCGCAUGGCCGACCGAGGAAAAGAUUUAUCGCUCUAGGAGGGUCUCGCGGCCUAUCAGCUAGUUGGUGGGGUAACGGCCUACCAAGGCAACGACGGGUAGCUGGUUUGAGAGAACGAUCAGCCACACUGGGACUGAGACACGGCCCAGACUCCUACGGGAGGCAGCAGUGGGGAAUCUUGCGCAAUGGGCGAAAGCCUGACGCAGCAACGCCGCGUGCGGGAUGACGGCCUUCGUGGUUGUAAACCGCUUCAGCAGGGACGAAAAUGACGGUACCUGCAGAAGAAGCCCCGGCUAACUACGUGCCAGCAGCCGCGGUAAU
rnacentral:rRNA from 1 species